AUAACUUGUUUAUGAAUUGAAUAAAACUAGUUAUAAUCACAUGGUAAAAUAAGUUGUUUAUGUCGCAAUUUGCUUUGCCCAACGUCUGAUUUUGUCAGUAGAUUGGACGCGCUAGGACCCGGAGCUCAAACAAAUUAAGGACAGCCACCACAUAAGAGGCUUAGUGUAUCUAAUCUAUACUUACACACACACACACACACACACGCACACACACACACACACACACACACACACACACACACACAUACACACACACUGAGUAUUUCAUAAACAUCACAUUUUCCAACAAGCACGCAUAGACAGAGGCGACCAUUGUAUUUUCAUUUAGUUUUCAUUUUCUCGGAACUUUUUUAUUCCCUCGGUUGACCUUAUCGUACCUUCCACUUUGUUGCAGAACAUUUGCCCAUAUGUUCUCCUCUUUCUCUCAUGCAAUUUCAUUAGCGGGCGGGUUUUUCUCCGUAAAUUGAAGAGAGAGACAAAGUGCAACUGCAGGCGCAUCCCUUGUAUUUCGAUUCAAGUGGUCAUUUUGAAGGAUAAUCUGGCUACCUAAAAAAAAUUGACAUAAAGUAAUGAUUUCUUACAAUACUUGCCUUUUUGAUCUGAUUACAUAAUGCUAUGUGUAAGCGAGGUUUGUAAGUAUCUUCAUGGAUUGCAAUUGAAGUCGGUGAAGCAAAAUAGCACCACAAACCAGACGACCACAUCACGACGAUCACACUCACACAAACCUUUCACACACUUUUCCCAGCUGUUACCUCUGACAUCGUGAUGAUCGAUACACACGCUGUCCACACCCUAUUUGUAUGAUUGUGUAUGCAUAGUGUGAUUAUAGUCUGUGUGUGUGUGUGUGUGUGUGAGAGAGAGAGAGAGAGUCACACACCCACACAUUAACACACACACACAAGCACAGAGUUCAGCCGAUUUAUCAUAAUAUGCUUUAUCUGAAAAGUAAGUAUCUUACCUCGGGAUAAAGGGAGGAAAGAGAGGUUUGUGGCCAGAUUGACAGAGGAAGGGUGAAUGCAGAGAAUGGAGCACUGGCUGCACAUGCAGGCACACAGAGCGGGACGUGCACUUUUUUGGGGGGCCGGAUCGAUCACUUUUGAUAAGGUUGUCCUUCCCAGACAAGAACAAGAUUAGAUUUGGAAGUCCACAGACAGCAUGUCUUCACAAAUCAUUUCAGCCGACACGAAUGUCAACUAUUCAAAGUAACUGGUGUACUACCAAUAAUUAAAAAUGUAAGGUACAGUUUACAAGAUUGAGUUGAUUUUAGAUGCGUGUUACUGAUCUUUGAAAUAAAAUGUUCAGUAUCCCUCCACCUUUUAAGCAUUCAGUGUGGGAUUGGAUUCAGUAGAGCCUUCCGUAAUCUGGUCUCGUAACGUAACAUGGAGUAUCUUGCACUAUAGCUUUAAGGAGACUUGUAGGGCUGCUGGAUUCAUUCUCUCAGUGCUACAGACCUAAAUCCACAUUGUGUCUGAGGAGCAGAGCUAACAUCCCUCUUUGCAAGCCGAGGGUACAAGUACACUAACUAAAGUGGCCUUGCCUGUUAAUGUGAAAUGAAUUAUUGCCAGGUGGCCCGGUGGACCAGUGGUCAGCGUGUCACCCUCACAGUGCAGAGGUACCGGUUCAAUGCCAGCUCUGGCCUCCCUGUGUGGAGUUCUCCCCGGGCCUGCCUGGGUUUUCUCCAGGUACUCCGGUUUCCUCCCACAUUCCAAAAACAUGCAUGGCAGGCUGAUUGAACACUCUAAAAUUGUCCCUAGGUGUGAGUGUGAAUCGACCGGCUGGCAACCGGUUCAAGGUGUCCACCGCCUACUGCCUGAAGACAGCUGGGAUAGGCUCCAGCACCCCCGCGACCCUUGUGAGGAUAAAGUGGUUUGGAAAAUGGAUUAAAUAACAAUAUAUUAAAUAGGUGAUGAAAUGUAAAUUACUUUUAUGAUUUGGGAUACGGUAUUUUAGUCAACACAGAGUGAUUAGAUAAUGACACAAUAAAUCCAAAAACAAAUAUCACUAACAUUGUUAUAACAUCACAGAAUUUUAAAAUCAUUCAUUUAUGAUGUGACCGAUAUGGAGGAAUAUAGCAUCUGCAACCGUAAGGCAAUAUGUUACAUUAUGUGUGCAAAGAUUUUGAGACAUUGUCCUCUCCAUCUUGUCGGCGUGCUGACCCAGCACUGUUUUGUGGAUGAUCCAGAUGAGUACAGUAAUGCUUAUUAUAUUCAUGGUUCUUAUGUGUGCAUGUUGCAUUGUAUUGUAUUUCAGAAAUUACUUUUAUGAAUAAAGAACAAAAAGAGACCUAA